rnacentral:misc_RNA from 1 species
GACCCGCUGCAGGCGCGCCUGCACCAGAUCAUACUGAGCCAGAAGAAAGUCGUCGAGGAGUUGAGCGUCCAACUUCGUGAAGCGCGGGAGGCGUUGCGACGGGCGUCACCGUCGCUACCGCCCGCGUACCAGACCGUUGUGCGAGCGCAGCCGACGCCGGCGGGCGACGGAAGCGCUCGCGGCGGCGGGCCGAGCCGAAGCGGAAGCGCCGCCAGCAGCAGCAGCGGCAGCGCGUCCGACGUGG